rnacentral:rRNA from 1 species
UAUGGUAAUUGUGUGCCAGCCUCCGCUUUACUACGUAUGGUGCAAGCGUUAUCCGGAUUUACUGGGUGUAAAGGGAGCGUAGACGGAGUGGCAAGUCUGAUGUGAAAACCCGGGGCUCAACCCCGGGACUGCAUUGGAAACUGUCAAUCUGGAGUACCGGAGAGGUAAGCGGAAUUCCUAGUGUAGCGGUGAAAUGCGUAGAUAUUAGGAGGAACACCAGUGGCGAAGGCGGCUUACUGGACGGUAACUGACGUUGAGGCUCGAAAGCGUGGGGAGCAAACAGG